AUUUAUCAUUGUGUUUAAUAAUGUAAUUAAUUAUGGGAUUUUCACUUAUACAUUUAUUUUAGCACAAGUUAAUUUAAUUCUCCCCCAUCCAGAAUUGAGGCUACCCAGAGUGUACAGCAGAGCUAAAUCUUUCUUAUGCAAAUGACAGUAUGCAAAUUAAUGCCAUGGUUGAGUACUUUUGUUAGGACUUGGAUGCCAUGUGCAUUCCCCAGGGCACUGCUAUUCUAGACUUCGCUGUGUGCAGUCCUGUGUGCAGUCCUGUGUGAGUACAUGUACAUGUACAUGUAUAUACAGUGGUACUGUGUGUACCAGGGCGUGGCCCAUGAUUUAAAAAGCCAGUUUAUCCUGCAAACUGGCUUUUCCCUGUGGGAAUAGUGAAUUCCUAGGUUCUUGGUGAACCAGAUAGCUUGUUCUGUGUGAACAACAGUAAGUCAACUCCCAAGACUAGCUCACGGUCUACCGAGAGAGUCAGGAGGAAGAUUCGGAACCGAGUCCUGUGUGGACCAGGCAUCGAGCCAGAUUCCAAGGCCCGGAGAGGUCACCCAAGUUCCCCAAGCCCGGAGUUCAUCCGCCUUAGUGGGAUCGUCAAAGCGCCGGAGGGAUGUUGUGUGUGUGACUGGUGCUCCAAAUCGACCACCCGUGUCACAAGUGUGAGCUUUGAACACAGCAAGUCCUUCAAAAGGUUUUGAACAGUGACUGUUUAGGGGGGUGAUUGCAUUUGUUUUGGGGUAUUGGAAACGGCCGUAUAACACAUAAUACAGGAUCCUUAUAAUGCCAUGAUAUAGUUGAGUAUCCGUCACUCAAAGUAUAAGUAAUUCAUAUAGUGGCAUAAUUCAAUUGAAAUAAUUUGUACAUAGUAAAUUUCCGUUUGUUUAAUAUAUUUAUUUGUCGUAAUUAAAUAGUAUUUUGUCUUGAUCAUACA
rnacentral:lncRNA from 1 species